ACGACUCUCGGCAACGGAUAUCUCGGCUCUCGCAUCGAUGAAGAACGUAGCGAAAUGCGAUACUUGGUGUGAAUUGCAGAAUCCCGUGAACCAUCGAGUCUUUGAACGCAAGUUGCGCCCRAAGCCGUCAGGCCAAGGGCACGUCUGCCUGGGUGUCACGCA
rnacentral:rRNA from 1 species